rnacentral:rRNA from 1 species
UUUUUUAUAAGGUCAUUUAUAUAGUCAGUUAAAUUUAUUAUGUCUGAUUUAAAAAUAAAACAAUAUGUAGCAAAUUUAGAUUUUUAGUAUGGUGUACAAAACUUAAACUUAUUAGGCCCUUUAUUUUGUACCGUGAGGGAGCAUUGAAAUAUUAAUUAAAUAAAGCAAAUAAAACAAACUAUAAUUUUUUACUUUUUGUAUUACGGUAGAACAAUUUAAAAAACCUUCCCGUUGGAAAACGAAACGGAACGAUUUAUUUUUCUCUUUAGUUUUUAGCUAUGGUGUUAGGGUGUUGCAAAACUUCUAACAGGAGGGGAAAGUAGUAGUAAAAUGUUAAUCGUGUUCUGUGUUAGCUUUUUUAUAAGGAAUUAAGUAUAAGCUUACCUUGGUUUAUUCUAAGGGAGAAGCUCUCGGAUGAGCGUGAGCUUCUUUGGGGAUACAGCCCCGUAAUUAUAAGAAAGGACAUUAAGAAGGGCAUAAUAUAGGGUGAGUAGGUUAGUUUUAGCAACUCUCUCAAACAGUGCGUUGCAGCAGGCUUAUUAUAAGAAUAUCUGUGGUUCUCAGCUCCAAUCUUGUUUUUUUUACUUAUGCGAAGGAGUUAUUCUUUUGAUAAUGUUUUAAUGAGUAAGCUAUUCCAGUUUUAUAUUAUAACCUAUAACAGAUAACUAUAUAUAAUCAAUCUGUUUGUUGUUGUAUUCUUAUUAAAGUUGGAACUAAAAUUAACUACGUAGGAAAAGGAACUCGGCAAAUAUUUCUUGCGCCUGUUUACCAAAAACAACGCCCUUGGAUUGUGAUCAACGGGUUCUGCCUGCCCGGUGACUAUAUGUUAAACGGCUGCAGUAUUCUGACUGUGCAAAGGUAGCAAAAUCAAUUGUUCAUUAAUUGUGGACUGGUAUCAACGGCUAGACGACAUGAAAGCUGUCUUUUUCUACUAAAGCUGAAUUUUACUUUUAGGUGAAGAGGCCUAAAUAUUAAAGUGGGACGAGAAGACCCUAUUGAGCUUUAGCUUCUCGCUAAGAAAUUUUUAGCAUGGAAGUUUGGGUUGGGGCAACCGGUCUUAAUUUUAAAACAAGACCAUAGUGUGUGUUGACUUGACUCAAGCUUUGACCCAAAACAUUUUGAUCAUUAGAAAAAGUUACCUUAGGGAUAACAGCGUAAUUCUUUCUGAGAGUCCUUAUUGACGAAAGAGUUUGCGACCUCGAUGUUGGAUCAUAGUUUCCUAAGGGUGCAGCAGCUCUUGAGGGUUGGUUUGUUCAACCAUUAAAGCUAUACGCGAUCUGAGUUCAGUCCGUCGUGAGACAGGACAGUUUCUAUCUACUAAGUCUCUUUUCUUGUACGAAAGGACUUUUAAGAGGUAGCUAAUAAAUCAUUUUAUGCUAUACUUAAUACUUGACUAAAAUAAUAUAGACA